rnacentral:rRNA from 16 species
GGGCGGUUCGCCGCUGACGACGUCGCGAGAAGUUCACUGAACCUUAUCAUUUAGAGGAAGGAGAAGUCGUAACAAGGUUUCCGUAGGUGAACCUGCGGAAGGAUCAUUG